GACGAACGCUGGCGGCGUGCUUAACACAUGCAAGUCGAACGAUGAACCCGGAGCUUGCUCUGGGGGAUUAGUGGCGAACGGGUGAGUAACACGUGAGUAACCUGCCCUGGACUCUGGGAUAAGCGUUGGAAACGACGUCUAAUACCGGGUAGGACCUUGGAUCGCAUGAUCUGGGGUGGAAAGUUUUUUCGGUCUGGGAUGGACUCGCGGCCUAUCAGCUUGUUGGUGAGGUAAUGGCUCACCAAGGCGUCGACGGGUAGCCGGCCUGAGAGGGUGACCGGCCACACUGGGACUGAGACACGGCCCAGACUCCUACGGGAGGCAGCAGUGGGGAAUAUUGCACAAUGGGCGAAAGCCUGAUGCAGCAACGCCGCGUGCGGGAUGACGGCCUUCGGGUUGUAAACCGCUUUUAGUAGGGAAGAAGGGCUUCGGCUUGACGGUACCUGCAGAAAAAGAACCGGCUAACUACGUG
rnacentral:rRNA from 1 species